rnacentral:rRNA from 1 species
AACCUGCGGAAGNAUCAUUG